CACGAAGCUGGAAUCGCUAGUAAUCGCGGAUCAGCACGCCGCGGUGAAUACGUUCCCGGGCCUUGUACACACCGCCCGUCACACCAUGAGAGUCUGUAACACCCAAAGCCGGUGGGAUAACCUUUAUAGGAGUCAGCCGUCUAAGGUAGGACAGAUGAUUAGGGUGAAGUCGUAACAAGGUACC
rnacentral:rRNA from 1 species